UACGUAGGGUGCAAGCGUUAAUCGGAAUUACUGGGCGUAAAGCGUGCGCAGGCGGUUUUGUAAGUCUGUCGUGAAAGCCCCGGGCUCAACCUGGGAAUUGCGUUCGAGACUGCCAGGCUUGAAUCUGGCAGAGGGGGCUAGAAUUCCACGUGUAGCAGUGAAAUGCGUAGAGAUGUGGAGGAACACCGAUGGCGAAGGCAGCCCCCUGGGUC
rnacentral:rRNA from 1 species